AUUGAACGCUGGCGGCAGGCUUAACACAUGCAAGUCGAGCGGUAGCACAGGGGAGCUUGCUCCCUGGGUGACGAGCGGCGGACGGGUGAGGAAUGUCUGGGAAACUGCCUGAUGGAGGGGGAUAACUACUGGAAACGGUAGCUAAUACCGCAUAACGUCGCAAGACCAAAGAGGGGGACCUUCGGGCCUCUUGCCAUCAGAUGUGCCCAGAUGGGAUUAGCUAGUAGGUGGGGUAAUGGCUCACCUAGGCGACGAUCCCUAGCUGGUCUGAGAGGAUGACCAGCCACACUGGAACUGAGACACGGUCCAGACUCCUACGGGAGGCAGCAGUGGGGAAUAUUGCACAAUGGGCGCAAGCCUGAUGCAGCCAUGCCGCGUGUGUGAAGAAGGCCUUCGGGUUGUAAAGCACUUUCAGCGAGGAGGAAGGUGGUGAGCUUAAUACGUUCAUCAAUUGACGUUACUCGCAGAAGAAGCACCGGCUAACUCCGUG
rnacentral:rRNA from 1 species